rnacentral:miRNA from 1 species
AUCUCGAUGGCCGGAAGGGAUUCCUUCCGGUCAUCGAGACCAUACAGUCUCGAUGACCGGAAGGGAUUCCUUCCGGUCAUCGAGACCAUACAAUCUCGAUGGCCGGAAGGGAUUCCUUCCGGUCAUCAAGACCAU